AUCAACUACUAGGGGUGUCCGUGGAACGGACUGAGAGGAAAGAAUGACUUUCCGACUCUCUGGACCUGAUCUGGAUCAUACCAGCGUGGGGAAGUAGUCAACAUACCAU
rnacentral:ncRNA from 1 species